rnacentral:rRNA from 1 species
AUUGAACGCUGGCGGCAGGCCUAACACAUGCAAGUCGAACGGUAACAGGAAGCAGCUUGCUGCUUCGCUGACGAGUGGCGGACGGGUGAGUAAUGUCUGGGAAGCUGCCUGAUGGAGGGGGAUAACUACUGGAAACGGUAGCUAAUACCGCAUAAUGUCGCAAGACCAAAGAGGGGGACCUUCGGGCCUCUUGCCAUCGGAUGUGCCCAGAUGGGAUUAGCUUGUUGGUGGGGUAACGGCUCACCAAGGCGACGAUCCCUAGCUGGUCUGAGAGGAUGACCAGCCACACUAGGACUGAGACACGGUCCAGACUCCUACGGGAGGCAGCAGUGGGGAAUAUUGCACAAUGGGCGCAAGCCUGAUGCAGCCAUGCCGCGUGUAUGAAGAAGGCCUUCGGGUUGUAAAGUACUUUCAGCGGGGAGGAAGGGAGUAAAGUUAAUACCUUUGCUCAUUGACGUUACCCGCAGAAGAAGCACCGGCUAACUACGUG